AAUAAUGUUAGAGUACAGCCUAGACAGUGUUCGGAGCCGUGUGGACCUCUUGCUUGGAAAGGAACAGUCCUGCGCUUAGGAAACUCAAAGUGCCCGACUCCCAGCUGCAUUCUCUAUAUGAGUAGAGUUGAGUUGAAAAUGUCAAGUUAUUUAAUAAAUUCAUACUAAAUACUUGGAGGUGGCAAACACUUCAAUGAAAUUAUGUGUUUUUCUUUUGGAGUUAUGUAUUUCCCUUUUGCUGAUGUUCAUUGAACACUUAUUCUACUCUAGGCCUUGUGCCACGAGCUUUCUAUGGGUCUGCCCAUUUGGUCUUCAUAAUGCCCUCAGCUGAGGUUCACUUUUAUUUUGAGACAGGGUCUCAUUCUGCCGCUAGGGUGCAGUGGUGUGAUCACGGCCCUCUACAGCCUUGACCUCCCUGGGCUCCAAUAGUCCUCCUGCCUCAGCCUCCUGAGUAGCUGGGACUACAGGUGCAUGCCACCACGCCCAGCUAAUUUUUGUAUUUUUUUGGAGAGAUGGGGUUUUGCUGUGUUGCCCACGCUGGUCUUGAACUCCUGGGCUCAAGCGAUCUGCCUGCCUUGGCUUCCCAAGGUGCUGGGAUUACAGGCAUGGGCCACCCACUGCACCCAGCCUGAAGUUCACGUAUGAUUUCUGCUUUAUAACAGGGGAAGUGGAGGAGGUGUGGUAAGGAGCCCACGCUCACAUGGCCAGUAAGUGAAGGAGGCCUGGCAAAGGCCACACUCUUGGUCUGUCACCCUGCUGCUUCUCCUCACUUCCUUGUGUAACAGCUCUGUCAUCAAUGGGCUGUGUGACUGCACACGCUGCUGCACCCCUGUGGCUUUCAGUUUCCCUAUCUGUAAGGGGUUGCACUAGAUGCUCCCCAAGGCCGAGGUAUGUGGGCCUGAGUGCUCUGCAUUCCCUGAUCAACUUCACUUCAUCAAGGGUCUCCCAUGGAUGUAGCCCAGUUGUGGGCACUUGGGAGAUCCAGGAGAAGUAACAUCAUGGCCUCUGGCUCCUCAAGGAAUUUAGAAUCCACUUGAGGACAUGACUGGUGGCACAAGAUAGUGAAUUAUUAAUUUCCCAAUGUGUGAUUCAGACUAGAGUGUAAGGGUUCUGGAAAGGCAAUUGAAUGAGUCUUGCCUAGUGGAAAAAUUGAUCAUCCUAAAGGGAGAGCAAAUCCUCCUUAACAUUUGCUAAAAAUUGCUCCUCUGUUAGGCAAGAGUCAGAUGCACUUGGGCACAUCAUCACCAUCUGACUCCCAGUCCACCCCAACACCCAGCCCGGGAGCCCUGGGAAGCUGGCGGAUGUGCCACAUUUCAAUGAGACCAUGAACCCUUAGAGGGCAUGAUGGUUUUUUCCUCCACAUUAUACACUUCCUUAUGUUGAAACGUUUUUUCCACAGGGCUGCAGGGAAAGAAGAAGAUGUAUAUUGGUGAAGCACAGCUCAGGGAAACAGAAUUAGUUGGGAUUGUGGAAAAGUCACUUUGUGAAUCAGGGGAUAGAGACGCCUCAUAUGCUGAAGCUGAAUUCCUUCAAUCCUAAAGAACUGGUUGGGAGCAGAGCACAGUUUGGAUGGGUUUGCAGCUAUGAUACCAGGGAAAAGAACUGCUGGACUCCAUACUCUAGCCAGUUUAAACCAGCAUUGAAAUCUCGAGUGUAUUUUAAAUUUUCAGCUUGGGUUUGCUAGAUGAACUAAAGAGUGAGUCUUAGGUUGUUUUUGCCUUACUCUUGUGGCAUCUCAGAGCCUGUAGAGAGUUGGCGUUUGUCCCAGUAGUCUUGGUCUUCCAUCCUCUGUCUUGCCCUGUUGGUGUUCCCUAGGGUUCUGUGCCAGCCCUGUUGCUCAUCCUAACCCUGCAAGGGGCAAUAGCAUCCAUUUCCAAGGUUUCAAUGUUCAGGAACAGGCUGCUGACUCUCCCUCCAAAGGUCCAGUUGAGAACUGACUUAUAAGUUCUGAAUCCAUGUAUGUGGCUGCCCUCUGGGCAUCUUCACUAGUAGCCCCACAGAAACUUGUGUGAAUGGUUUACAUAAACUUGUGUGAGAAGAGAUGUAUCUUGUCUCACUAACUCUUAUCUUGUUAAGUUUUCCCCCAGAAACUGUGCAGAGCCCAGACAUGCCAGGAAGUUUCCAUCUUUUUAGGGCAUCCCUUAGCCAGAGACCAACAGUUUAACGCCACAAAGCCCAGCUCCCUUGUCUCCAUGGGGACAAACUCAGAAAUCUCACACACUCCCUUGUGAGACCUUGCCUGCAGUUGCACCCUUGCUUGGCUUCUUCUCAGUCCCCUGCCGACUUGCCCCAUUCCCGUACCAGACCCGUUUCUUUGGGAGCUUGUCUUUACUAAGUCACUUGCACAGGACCCUUCCUCUCAGGAUCCACUUCUGGGCAAUCCUCACAAAUAACAGACAAAUGAUAAUAGGUAGCAUUCACUGAGUUUGACCAUGUUUCAGGCACUGUGAUAAGAGCUUUUUACAUGCCCUGGUCCACUUAGUCCUCCAGAAUUCCAUCAGGCAAAGCAGGUGCAAUUAUAGCCUCUUGGCAUAGUUUAAACUUGGGACUGCAGACCCUGGUGCCUGACUGCCUGGGGUCAAAUUUCAGUUCUCCUAGUUACUAGCUGUGUGGCCUUGGGCAAGUCACCUAUUUUCCUCACCUGUAAAAUGGAGAUAAUAAUAGAAUCUACUUCACUGGUUUGCUCUGAUGAGCUAAAGACAUGAACCUGUAUUGGUUGGUGGUCCAGGGCUUGGGAACCCUGCUUUAGGUGAUUAAGUAAUGAAGGUGGAGCCCUCAUGGAUGGGACUGGGGCCUUAUAGAAGGGCUUGAGGGAGUGGGUUUGCCCUUCUGCUCUUCUGUUCGGUGACACACAGUGUUCCUCCCCUGAAGAGGACGCAGCAGCAAGGUGCCAUUUUGGAAGCAGAGACUGGGCCCUCACUGGACACCAAUCCCAGCUAAUUUCUGUUCUUUAUAGAGGAACCAGUCUGUGGUUUUGUGUUACAGCAGCACACAUGGUUAGACUAAGACAAGUGUGUUCCAAAUGUUGAAUGCGACAUAUACUAAACAAUCCCUUUUCUUGUUCAUCUCCUCUUGUUUCUCGUCCUCCUCCUCCUGUUUGUUAACUCUGCAACUCUAGGCUUAGCUCAUUCCCACACUAGGGAUGUUCCUCCUCUGACGAUGACAUGAUUUUCUCCUCUCUUCGACUCUGGCCUCUGCCCAAAUACCUUUUCUUCAGGAAGGCCUUCCCUGAUCUCACAUCUCAAAUGGGAGCCCCAUCACUCCCCAUUCCCCUUCCUCUUGUCUUAUUUCCCUCACUGCUUUAUCCUGCCUGACUUUACCUUGUUUUUGUUUGUUUGUCCUCCACUAGCAUGGACUCCUCAGGAAGGCAGGGAUUCACGUCUGUUUUGUUCACUGCCAUUUCCCUAGUGGCUCAUAGGGCCUGGCAUAAAAUAGGCAUCCGAAAACUAUUUGUUGAAUGAAUGGAUUAUUCUGCAAGAUGAAGAGAGAAAAAUUUGGAGUUUCCAGGUCAGCCCAAGAAAGAGAAGAUUGGAGAAGAAGGCUAUAAAAUUACUGGGGGAAGAGAGGAAGGACAAUGGUAAAGGAGAGACAGAGAGAGAGACAGACAAAGAGACAAGUUACUUUCUGAGACCUUUCUGAGUCUGAAGGUAUGUGAGCUCAGAAAUAUAGGCCUCUACACAGGCUGCUAGGUUGCAUCUCCAAGGAGAAGAGUACGAUGUAGAAUUUCAAAGCACAGGCUUUGACAACCCAGACUCAACAUUUGUAAAGCACCUAACAAAACAUUUGACACUUGGCAAGUGUGUAUCAGAAGGCAGCCGCGAGUACGUCUCAUUGACAACUACACCCCUAAUGAUGAAAUUCACACUCAUCCAUUGCCUCUUUGAUUUUAGCUGACUUGCAGCUGAUGGCUAUUUUUCAAAAGCAAACAAUUUUUUUUGUUUUUGUUUUGCUUUUAAAUUGUCACAGGAGGGUUAGGGUGCCCACAGGGUGAUUAAAAAAUGUCAAGCCAAGUACACUGUGAGCCAUGUGACUCCCAAGCUGGCCUCAUCGAACGAGGAUUCAAAUUCAGCCACAGUGCAGGGAUAAGUCACUACACUCAGGGGCCUUUGAGGUUUCUAGGAUAUAGUUGAAGCUGCAAGUGUUAAACCCAGGGGUGUCAAGGGCCCAUGUCUCUGAGCACACAGGACAGGGUGUAGUUGUUAGUGCUGAAGCCAGUCCAGCAUGACGUUUGCUAGCUCUGUGAUACACAGCCUCACCUUUAGACCUCACAUUCUUCCUGUGGAAAAUGGGAUGACAAUUCCUGCUCUGUCUUUCUUACAGGUUUGGAUGACCAUAAAAUUAAAUAGGGUAUGACAAAGAGCUUUGGUGACUGUGAACUACUAUAUAAAGCUUAGGAUCGUCAUGAUGUCAUCAGCAUUGUCUGCAGGGGUGGUCUUGGCUGGCUGACUAUGGGUUGCCAAUCCCAUGGACAUCUUGGUGUCCUCCACGCCCUCUUCUCGGCGCCAGGGUAAAAUGCCAAUCAGUGACGUGUCCCUGUGGGACUCAAAUGACACAAGAUGAUCACCCUCUGGAGCUCUAGCUCUGCAUCCUUGGGUCAGGCCAGCAAGUGCUGCCAGAUGUGCACCUCCCAGUCCAGCAGCCACUGCAAAGGCAGGAAAUUAGCACCAGCUCUGAGUAAACAUCUCUGUUCUUUAACUCAGCACUUUGCUAUGUUAGUAAUUAGCUACACUUUUCCAGGACUAGACACCACACAUGACAAGUCCCACGAUCCCCAGUACCAGUGAGACAGUCACGGCCUGGGCAGGCUUCAGCCCCUCUCCUGUCCCAGCCUCAGCAGUUCUGGCAAGUUCUUAGAUGGCAGCACAUUCCCAGAGCCAAAUGAUGCAUCCUGAGACAGACAGGCAGGGAGAGGAUGCACUGGUGUCCAUGGCCUUGGCCCAUGAUAGCCUGCAAAGCCAGUUGCCCCUGAGAAGCAAUUUUUCUUUCUCUCAUUUGGAUGCUUAUUGGCCAGAGCUGUCCUCAAACUGCAGCAGGCAGUAUCCUUGCCUUAGGACCUGCAAUUUCAUGCAUUUAUCAGACAAAUAUGAACCGAGUGACUGCUAGGUACUAGGUGCUCAGAACGCGUCAGUAAACAAAACAGAUUUGAAUUUCCCUUCCUUCAUGGAACUUAAGUUCUAGUGGUGGGAGGAGGACAGAAAACAGUAAAUAACUAGAUUUUGAAUUGUGUUAGCAGAUGAUAACUGAUGUGGGAACUUAGCAGGUAGAAGGCAACACAAGGUCAAAGAAGCCGGGGAUUCCACCUUGACUAGGGAGCUCAGGGCAGGCCUCACUGAGAAAGCACCACUUGCAUGAAGGAGGUGGGAAAAGCCUUCACCUGGGGGAAGAGCCUUCCAGGCAGAGGGAACAGCCAAUGCCAAGGCCCUAAUGCCUUGGCCACUGCCUGGUAUGUCCAAAGAACAAGGAGACCUGUGCCAGCGGCUGCAGCUGAGUGAGCCAGGGAUGUAGGAAUGUGUAGAGGGUGGUUCUGGGAGGUGGCAGCAGGAGAAAAGUGGCUCAAAGUCAGCUAGUGGUACCAUCUGGAUUUGGUUUCGGGGCCUUGAAGCCUACAGAAUUUGCGGACACUUUCUUAAGAAUGUAAAGUUACAAAAACGAAAUUAGACACAGGGCUCUGGAAAGGCAAGCGAGGGUCCCUGAAACCUAUGUUCCUUCGCUUCCCUCUAGUGGAGCCCUGGACCUGAGGACGGUGCUGGGAGGGUCCCACCCACCACAGAGCCUCCUUCCCUCCCUCCUUCCCCUCCGAUGUUGCCCUUCUGUGACUUCUUUCCUCCCUCCAGACUUCCUGUGACAGUCAUCUCAACCAGAGUUUGCACAGAUGGACAUGGGGACAGAGGGAGGAGGUGAGGGACCACAGUAAGGCCCAUCCCAGGCCCACAUUGGUCAACCUCCAGCCCUCAGGGACAAUGCGGACAGUGGGGUGGCCGGGAAGUUCCUCCUGAGAGGGGAAGGGUGGGAAUCACCCCGCCACGGAAGACAUUUCUCCCUUCUUGGUGGUUCUGUUCCCACCCAGGGAAAGAAACUAACAGGGCAAGGCACACAUUUAAUAUGAAAGCAGGCUCAGUGUCCUCUCUCAGGUCCCCACAUGGUCCUUCAGGAAGUAGCUUCAAGGCACUGGGGCCCCAGGGAGAUGAGCAGUGAGACUCUCUCUCAAUCUGGCUGGGCGAGUUCCACUCAGGGAGGCCCAGACUCUGCUUCAGAAACCUGGAAGGAGUUUGCGGGGGAGUGGAGCAGACAGGGAGAGGAAAUAAAAGGAAUUAUCCUCUGAGCCCAGUUAUUAAAUAUCAGCAGAGGGGAAAGAAAUUCAGAGUAGGUAGGAAACUCAGGCUAGGCAUGUUUCAUCAUGUACUUUCUCUAUAGGAUGUCUGCUAAGGGCCUGGUUAACUACAAACCAUGCAUUUUUUCCCUCCCUCCCUCCCUCCCUCCCUCCCUCCCUCCCUCCCUCCCUCCCUCCCUCCCUUCCUUCCUUCCUUCCUUCCUUCCUUCCUUCCUUCCUUUCUUCCCUCCUCCCUUCCUUCUUUCCCUCUCUUCCUCUCUUCCUCCCUUGUUUUGUUUCUUCUUUAGGGAGAAAAUAUGCCAUUCAAAAGUGCCCAGUGUGUGCACACACUCUCUUUUUCUUUUUUUAAAAUUUAGCCUUGACUUGAAAUUCAGAGUAUGCAUAUUUUUUAAAAAUUGUGAUAAUUUUUUUAAAAAGAUGCCAGCUGCUAAUUCCACCUAGGUAGAGACAUUUAAACAAGUUUGGCUAUAAUACAGGAAUUUUGAUGAAUUUGUUUAAAUGAGAUUCUCAUUAUAAUACAAUCCCUUGCUGUCUGGAAGAAAUAAGUCAGUCUAGAAACAUUUACAGAACAGCUGCUAUAUGCAGGGGUUUUUUUUAGGUCUCAUGGGGUGUUCAAGAAUGUUGAUUCCAAAGUCUCACUCCUCCAGGGGUGUCCCGUAGUCAAGAGGUUGAUGCUGAUGCCUGUGGAAAGAGCGGCUGAAGAUGGCUUCUCAGGCUUUCAUCUUGACCUCCUCCUCUUACUUCACACUCGCCCUGGGCUCCAGCCUCAGCACCCAAGACGUCAACCACCUCCCACCAGGCUUGCGAUGCCAAAUCUUUAUCUCUAGCCUGACUCCCAGCACCUUCCAGUCGUCUGCCUAGAGUGGAGGCUGGCUGGCUCCAGUUCCCUUUCCAACAGCAGCCAGGGUGGCCUGCCUCAAACGCACACAUCUGGCCACAGCACUCGCCCACGCCCGCGUAGGAGCUGGCCCUGGUCACCGUCAUCCACGUCAGAGAUCACAAACAUUUGGAAAUGUAACUUGUUUUUCAAAUAAAUGUUAUAUUCAAAACCAA
rnacentral:lncRNA from 1 species